rnacentral:rRNA from 1 species
GACGAACGCUGGCGGCGUGCCUAAUACAUGCAAGUAGAACGCUGAAGAGAGGAGCUUGCUCUUCUUGGAUGAGUUGCGAACGGGUGAGUAACGCGUAGGUAACCUGCCUUGUAGCGGGGGAUAACUAUUGGAAGCGAUAGCUAAUACCGCAUAACAAUGGAUGACCCAUGUCAUUUAUUUGAAAGGGGCAAAUGCUCCACUACAAGAUGGACCUGCGUUGUAUUAGCUAGUAGGUGAGGUAACGGCUCACCUAGGCGACAAUACAUAGCCGACCUGAGAGGGUGAUCGGCCACACUGGGACCGAGACACGGCCCAGACUCCUACGGGAGGCAGCAGUAGGGAAUCUUCGGCAAUGGGGGCAACCCUGACCGAGCAACGCCGCGUGAGUGAAGAAGGUUUUCGGAUCGUAAAGCUCUGUUGUAAGUCAAGAACGAGUGUGAGAGUGGAAAGUUCACACUGUGACGGUAGCUUACCAGAAAGGGACGGCUAACUACGUGCCAGCAGCCGCGGUAAUACGUAGGUCCCGAGCGUUGUCCGGAUUUAUUGGGCGUAAAGCGAGCGCAGGCGGUUUGAUAAGUCUGAAGUUAAAGGCUGUGGCGUAACCAUAGUUCGCUUUGGAAACUGUCAAACUUGAGUGCAGAAGGGGAGAGUGGAAUUCCAUGUGUAGCGGUGAAAUGCGUAGAUAUAUGGAGGAACACCGGUGGCGAAAGCGGCUCUCUGGUCUGUAACUGACGCUGAGGCUCGAAAGCGUGGGGAGCGAACAGGAUUAGAUACCCGGGUAGUCCACGCCGUAAACGAUGAGUGCUAGGUGUUGGAUCCUUUCCGGGAUUCAGUGCCGCAGCUAACGCAUUAAGCACUCCGCCUGGGGAGUACGACCGCAAGGCUGAAACUCAAAGGAAUUGACGGGGGCCCGCACAAGCGGUGGAGCAUGUGGUUUAAUUCGAAGCAACGCGAAGAACCUUACCAGGUCUUGACAUCCCGAUGCUAUUUCUAGAGAUAGAAAGUUACUUCGGUACAUCGGUGACAGGUGGUGCAUGGUUGUCGUCAGCUCGUGUCGUGAGAUGUUGGGUUAAGUCCCGCAACGAGCGCAACCCCUAUUGUUAGUUGCCAUCAUUCAGUUGGGCACUCUAGCGAGACUGCCGGUAAUAAACCGGAGGAAGGUGGGGAUGACGUCAAAUCAUCAUGCCCCUUAUGACCUGGGCUACACACGUGCUACAAUGGUUGGUACAACGAGUUGCGAGUCGGUGACGGCAAGCUAAUCUCUUAAAGCCAAUCUCAGUUCGGAUUGUAGGCUGCAACUCGCCUACAUGAAGUCGGAAUCGCUAGUAAUCGCGGAUCAGCACGCCGCGGUGAAUACGUUCCCGGGCCU